rnacentral:rRNA from 1 species
AACGCCGCGUGAGGGAUGAAGGCCUUCGGGUCGUAAACCUCUGUCAGAGGGGAAGAACCGUCGGUGGGAUAAUACCCCAUCGGCCUGACGGUACCCUCAGAGGAAGCACCGGCUAACUCCGUGCCAGCAACGUCGGUGACUGAGCGGGCUGGCAAGGCGCAUA